AUAAGUGUUUUACUGCACUUUUUAAAAAAUAGUACUCACCUUGUGUGCAAUGUUGUGUGGAAUUUCUCACCUCGUGUGAGAAUUUCACACCUACACCAACCUAUAACCUUGAACCACUUUGUCUGAAAAACUAUUAUGAAUACUUAAUUCAAAAUACAACUUUCAACAACGGAUCUCUUGGCUCUCGCAUCGAUGAAGAACGCAGCGAAAUGCGAUACGUAAUGUGAAUUGCAGAAUUCAGUGAAUCAUCGAAUCUUUGAACGCACAUUGCACUCUCUGGUAUUCCGGAGAGUAUGCUUGUUUGAGUAUCAGUAAACACCUCAAAUCUCGACAUUCGUGUUGAGAAUUGGACUUGAGCAAUCCCAACUCUUUGCAAAAAGAGGCGGGUUGCUUGAAAUGCAGGUGCAGCUGGACAUUCUUCUGAGCUAAAAGCAUAUUUAUUUAGUCCCGUCAAACGGAUUAUUACUUUUGCUCUAGCUAACAUAAAGGUCGAAUGUGCUACAUGCUGACUGAUGCAGGAUUACCAAGUUUCUGUCAAAAGAAACUUGUAAACUCCAUUGUCAAAAGAAACUUGUAAACUCGAUCUCAAAUCAAGUAAGACUACCCGCUGAACUUAAGCAUAUCAAUAAGCGGA
rnacentral:rRNA from 1 species